ACUUUUCUUUUCUUUUUUUUUUUUUCUCUCUCUCUAGUUUUCUUUCAGUGUAUGAAAAGGAAUUAUUCCUUCCAAAUUUUGCAAGACCCAUGAAUACAUAGUUUCAAACAAUGCAUAAUUGGAGACGUUUAUACCUAGAAAGAUCGACUGCUGGGGGUUUUGAUCUCUUUCUUCCUCUAUGAAAGUAAUGAUAUUAAAAACAAGGAUAAGGUUAUGAGGUUUAUUUUCCAUGGAAAACCAUUGAAUAUCAGUAAAAGAUCGUGCUUAUAUUCCUUGUUUUUCCAAUUUCAUCAUCUCUGUGAGACACAGUUACAGAAAGAAGAGUUGGAAUAUGGG
rnacentral:misc_RNA from 1 species